UCCUCCCAGUAAUAACAACAGCCGGUGACGUUGGGCUGGCCCUGUUUGGCGUGCAUAAUCAGAAUUGAUGAUCUCAGCCAAUCCAAUGCUUUCCAAUCAACAUCUGGCCACCAUCUGAGAAGUGGCCACUAUAGGUGUCCCAGUGCUGUAAAUGUAAACACUGCCUUUUCUCUGAAAAUCCUGCAAAGACAUACUAUACUCACCAGGACAACUACAAUAAGCUUUAGUUGUUCUGGUGACUAUAGUGUCCCAAUAGUAAAGAGGCUGUUAAAGCAUUUUAAAACCUAAUGAAUAAGUGAUUGAGGAUCCACUAGAACUCUCUAGCAAUAUACUUUGAGCAGAUUCCAGAACAGUUUAUAAAUCUGGAUGAGGGAAUGGACUACAAAACUUUAACCCUUUUGAUGGCACUGAGAAUAAGUCACAUUAUAAAAGGAAGUGCAUUAAUAUAAUUACCAAUAUGGAU